AUGAAGACCCUAAAAGAACUAGACUCAAGACUGUUGUUCUUUAAUAGAGUGUUUGGGUCUGAAGAUGACUGUCCACCCCAGCUUAAAGAAAUGUCAGCUGAAAUUUUGAGGAGGUGUGGAGGGUUGCCACUUGCAAUUAUCACUAUAGCCAGUUUGUUAGCUAGUCAUCAAGCAAGACCAAAGGACGAGUGGGAGAGCAUAAGAAACUCUCUUGGUGCUAAGUUCGCCACAAAUCCCACCUUGGAAGAGAUGAGGAGUAUAUUAAACCUUAGUUACAUGCAUCUUCCUCUUCAUCUCUGUCCAUGUCUCCUGUACCUUGGCAUGUAUCCAGAAGAU
rnacentral:rRNA from 1 species